GCUGUGGAGAGCAAAACAAAUGCGAGUAGACAUUUCAUGUCAAAAGCAUGUUCGUUGAAGCAGCAA
rnacentral:sRNA from 12 species